UGUUUCCUUAAGAUUCUAACUCUAAGAACCCUAAUAAGAGUUUUGGGUAAACAUGACCAAUUUGCAGAUUUUGACGAGAUUGCGACGUGAAUUUGGAAUAGAAAAAGGAGCGGAAAGAGGUCAGCAGACAGGCGGAUUUGAUCCUUAGGAGCUCUACCAGCCGUACUUGACAGCGCUCCAGUUGUUCCGGAGCCUCACUUCUGUGGUACUCUUUUGUGUAUAUUUUCGGGCACGACAGUACUCGGCCCUUUCUAUGUAUAAGUGUACUAUGUCUAGAGGCUCGUAGACAGAUAUGUUCAGUCAGUUAUGUACAGUUAAAUAUGUGGUAUUUUGGCAUCUUAAUGUUGUUGUAUGAAGUGACAGCGAAGCUAACUAGUCCAUGUUCAUAAUGACGCUGCUAAUGUUAAUGUUCA